rnacentral:sRNA from 2 species
AGUAUGCCGUCGCUGAAUUCCUAAGAGAAGCGGAGAACCCAAUCACAGGGGUGAAUCAUCAGUCUUUCACUGAUGUAGGGAAUGCCUGCUCCCGAACCCGUCAGCUAACUCCGUAAGCGUUGCGGGCAGUUUUA